AUUCUAUCCAUGUGGGGAAGGAUGAGAAGCUUCGACUAAGGUUCGAUUCGAGCGAAAGCGAGAAAGCGUUGCCGCAGGCAACGACCCGAAGGGCGAAACGCGCAGCGCUGAGUCAUCCUUCCCCCACCACCA
rnacentral:sRNA from 3 species